CCACUGUGACGUAACACGUCAGAAAACGUCAUAGACACCGCCCACUCGGCGAACUGUCUCCGAGCGGAGCCGGGCUGGAUUGGAUUGGACCCCUGGGCGGGAAAGGACGGACGGGUUAAGUAGCCAAUCACCAAUUGCGCUCCAGCCAGAGGGGCGAUGUUCUUGGGGAGCCUGGGGAUCUGGAAGAAGUUCAGUGUGAGGACGAGUGUUAGGAAAUAAGGCUGAAGACAGAGGCAACCCUGGAGGAUCUUCUAACCCAUGUCAAGCAGUUGAGAAUUUAUGGAGUGAAAUAGCAAGCCAUUGAAGAGUUUCAAGCUUUCAUCCAGCUUUUAAGGGAAACUAAUAUCUCAUGAAAUUGUGAGGGCCUGGAAUCUUCAAAGAGCCAAGGAUUCUGCCAGACUGAGCAAUAGACUUGAUGAGCAUUCUCCACUUAAGAUCUGAACUAUGAGAAGUCGAAUCAAAGCAGUUCUUUUGUAAUUCCAAACAGCCAUUUAGACAUAUGAAGAAAUGAAAGUAAAGCAGUUCUAAAGACAAGGAAGAGGGUCAAUGAAAGGUGCUCCCAAUGCAAUCACAAAGAUCUUUAAAAGUGGAAGAAGGUGGGAGAGGUCAGAGUGAUACGAAGAGAACUCAGUCUACCACUGCUGGCUUUGAAGAUGGAAGAAUGGGGCUAUGAGCCCUGGAUUGCGGGCAGCCUGCAGAAGCUGGGGCAGAGAUUCCACACAGGCACCUCUAGAAAAUAAUGCAGCCAGCCAAUCCUUAGACUUUAUCCCAGUGAGAGUCAAGUUGGACUUCUGACCUACAAAAGAGUAAAUAUCUAAAUUAUCUGUGGCAACAACUUGGUGGGGUCAACUCGAAUGUUUUUGUCGGCUGUUCUUGAAGACUUCUGGGUCUCUACAACCACAUUCUUUGGCUGGUGCCAGUGUUUAAGCACUCUGAAACUGCAUAGCAGCAUGUUUGAAGGUGGCCUGUCAAAUUUGGGAAACUGACGGUGUGACUGAGCUAGUCACAGGGGUCUUCACAGAAAAGGCAGUCGGGGUCCUGGUCAACUGGAGAUUCCAUCUGAAUGUGAAUGGAUUUAAAAGGUGACUGGAACACUUCUUUCUGACCUCAGAGAUGUGAUGGAUGUCCGGGAAGAUUUUCUCAAGGGCUAGAAGUUAAGAACUUUGUUCCUACUGUUUAUCUUUUUCCCUUUCAUAUUCAAGCCACUUAACCAUACUGAGCCUCAACUUUUUCAUUUAUAAAAUGGAAAUCAUUUUAACUUUUCUCUGGAGGACAGCUGUUGCCUGCCCAUCACUAUUUCCUCCUUUUCUGGUGACAACAUCCUACUUUCCUUCAAAGAAUAAUGCCUACCCCAUUAUAAUAACUUUUACACGGGGCUGUCCCAACACAUGCUGCCUUCAAGGCUAGGUGCAUGACACAGGCCUGGCCAAUCAGUGUGUCCAAUCCCUCUGGCCACUGUGAUUGGUCCAGUUACGGGUAUAUGAUGCAGAUCAAUCCAGUAAAACUCAACCUCGUGACUUUUACUGGAACCAUCAGUCAAGACGCCUUCUUUUUCUGUGAGUUUUCCAGGCUAGGAGAAGGAAAGUUAGAGCCCUGGGAUGCCACGUCAUGAGAAAAGCCUGCCAGAGAGCAAAACUAGCACAAAGGAAAGAAAGUAUUCCAAUAAAAGGGUGACGCUGAAAGCUGAAAUGUGAAUUUGUUAAAUCCUCAAAUAGCCAACAGCUUCUAGGACAAGAUCAUACACAGUUAGGACCUCGAUAACAAUUUGUUAGUGGAAUAGAUAAGAACAUUUUAGAUCCUGUUGCUCAAUUCUGAAAUGCUGCUCUGUGUCAUGAAUAUUGGUUUAUUUUCUUUGUAGAGUGAAGUCAUUAAGACUAGAGCUCCAGGCUUCUUCAUCCAACUCCAAGGGUUCCCAGCAACAUGUGAAGUCCUCUAUCUGUCACUAAGAAGCCGUAUGAGAAGAAUACACCUUGGCAGCUGCUGGAUCAAGGCAAAUGAGAGACCCAUGGAGCUCACUAAAUCCAACUCUACAGCUUGGAGCUAAGCCUAACUUAGCCAAGUCUAAACCAGUUUGACCUCAGCCAAUUCACAGAUGUUUGAGCCAGAAGUAAGGUGCUUGUUGCUGGAAGCCAGUUAAAUUUUGAGAUCUUUUUGAAAAAUAUAUUGUCAUUGCAGACAUAGAUGCACAUAGUUUUCCACACUGUGGGAAGUCAAAUUAAGCAUGCUUAGACUUUUAAAGCAGAAGCCCAUUAUUAGUGGGGUGGCAAAAAUGUUACAAGUGACAUAGUCCUCCAAUUUCCUUCUUCUAGCCCUCUGCCUAAGAACUAGUGUACUUCAUUUUGAAGUGGAGCCCUAACGGGAGUGUUCAUCUUCUGUCAACAGGGUUAAGCCUCUUGACGCUUACUGGGCACUCACAGUUGUUAGUUCCCUGGAAGACAUGAAAGAGCUUGAUUGGUUCUGUAGUCGUCAGUCAAUAACCAACUGUAACAUACCUACACUUCCAACAAAAUCUUGAUUUGGGAAAUUGAGUGUCUGCUUAUAGUUAAUCCUCUAUUUUUUGACACCUAGUAGGAAAAACAUUUUCAAAAGAGCCAUGACCUGACUCAGUUAAUAUGCAAGGAAAAAUAAGCAGUUCCAAACUUGUCAGUUUAUCCAUCAUCCCUUAUCCAAAAUCCUUCAACUCUCUUGGAAUUAUUUUGUUCUUCAUACUUGCCCAACAAAUAUCUUACUCUUGUCUUGGACUUUAUUUUAUAGUUAUCUCACAUAAGCUCCUUGUGGCUAAGGGCACAUAUUUGGAAUCAGACUACCCUAGUUCAACUCUUGGGUCUACCAUUUAUUAGCUUGUAUUACUUUGGGAAAGAUAAUUAAAUUCUCCAGAUCUAAUUUCCCCCAUUAUAAGAUAAUAAUAGUUAUUACCUGCUAGGAUUGUCUUGAGAAGUAAAUUAGAUAAUUCAUAAGAACCAUUUAACACAGUGCCAGCCACAUAAUGAAGGCAUAGUAAGGGAAAGUUAUUAUGCUGUUGAUAAUACUUGUCUAGGCAGGGGUCUCAUAUUUUUCCCUGUAUCCAUUACUGUACAAUUCAUCUGUCCCAUGACAUUCUAAGAUUGUUUUAGAGUGAGUUGCUUCAGAGUUGAAUAAUUCUAAUAAUAUAUUCUCAUGUUUGGAAACAACUUGGAAUUCCAUUUAGUGUAGACAUCAACAAUGAAAUCGCUAGAGGAUGAGUAAUUUCUACAAUUUUUAUUCAUUAUAGAGAGACCAAUGGGUAUAAUGGUGAAAAGAACUGAGUAGAAGGUCAGGAGGUCAAAGAGACUGAGUUUAAACCCUCACUCUGCUGAGUACUGUUAAUAAUGGUAUGAUCUUAAGAGAACUAAUCUUUAGUUUUUCCCACCUUAAAAACAGAGUUGUCAUGAGUAUUUAAUAAUAGAGGGUAGUAUGUAAACUUCCUGGCAUAUAGCAACUGCUCAACAAAUAGAAGUUAUAGUUUUUUCUUAACUUGCCAAAGAGCCAAGGGAAAAAUGAAGAUUUUGUAGCCAAAGCCAUUUAUCUUUCUCUGUUAUGUGCCUAUCUGUUCCAGAAACAGAAUCAAUUCCUUGAACCUCAUCAAAGGAAGGAUUUGAACAUUUAAAAAAAAAUCAAUCUCUUUGGGUUUGUUAUUGCUUGUUUCCCAUACCUCAGAGACACAAAUACAAACCUUUAUAAUGUCAUCAGGAAGAAGAGGAGUCAAACACUCCUUAACUCAAUAAUUGCAAUGUUAUUAUUUUGCAAGGAAUAGAGUCAAAAUUCCAUUCACAUGAGGACUGUAACUUCUUCAUUACUCCUUGAGGCACGAUGUCCUUGAUUUUAAGUAGCUCAUGUAGAAACUAGUUGUAAGUCUUUAGCGGAGAGACUGUACUGGAAUUAUAGGAUCUACUUAGGGGUUUGAGCUUCCCCACCCACUUAGAGUGACAGUUCACACCUAUAAAAACACAAAAGUCCGGGGGUUUAUUAAACAUUAGGAGAUCCAAAGAGCCAAGACUUCUACCUGUAAAAGUGGUGCUUCCUAAGCAGAAGAAAUGGAAUUUCUCAGAGAAUACAGCUUGGCUUGACCAAUGGACUGUACAAGGAAGAUUAGGAGGUAAUUACUGGGGUAAAAGAGAAAUGGUUGCAUCUUUCUGGAACACUCUAAUAAAACUGAAAGUUUUUCCUGAUUUCUUCUUUUAUUUGAUACAAGGGUCAAAUUUGAUACAUAAAGUCAUAAUGUCCCACAUGUACUUCUCAGGAACAUCUGUUUAGUCCUACUACAAAACUUGGGGAACAUGGUUUCCUAAUGUGGUACCAGUCGUCUCUUCAUGGAUGACUUCAGGAAGAAAUUCUGACUGGCAGACUCCACAAGUAUAAGACAAUAAGAGGCCAAUUUCUUUAUUCUUCUCCUCUUCUCCGCUUGUCCCCCCACCUCAUUAGCUUUGGGAGAAUAACACAGUGUGGAACAGAAAAAUAAGGAGCCUUGUUGUACUUCAUUGGCCUCAAGAGGUCUCAUCUAUUAAAUAGAUCCAUUAUGUUACUCUCAGAGAAAAUUAUAGUCAAAAAUAUUUCAAGUUUUAGGGCAGUACUGAAUAUAUAAGGGCUCUGUUACUUAAUCUCUGUGCUCUUAUCUUGGGGCGGCAAAGCUCAGUAGGGCUAUCUUGAAAGUAGCCUGAAAUCAAUUGGUCAGAUGAAAUCAAUUGGUCAGGAGGAGCCCAUCAGGAGGAUCAAGGACAUGGGUGACACAGUGAGUGUAAUUAUUAGUCAGGAUAGGUUAGGUUAGGCAUUAGUGGCAAAUUAUCUCCAAAUCUCAGUGGCUUGGUACAAUAAAGGCUUAUUGCUUAUUCAUGCAGCAUGUCUACUGCAGGUCCACAAGGGCUCUGUUCCACUCACAGAUCCAGAUUGUAACAUUCUUUGCCAUCUCAUAGCUACAUGAUCUAAACAUCAGCAGAAGGAAAGUGUCUUGGGUCAGGCUACCUGGAAAACAGAUCAAGAUAAAGAUUUCUGUGCAAAAAGGUUAUUGGGGAGGGAACUCUAAUUGAUAUCUGCCAGGGAUAGUGCAAGAAUGGUUGAGCAGACAAUUGUUGAACUACUUACUAUGUAUGUAGUAACAACAAAGGUCUUGACCAACCCAAAAGGGAGUCCUGGAGCUCAAAUGGUUCUUCACAGUUCUCUCACCUUAAGGCAAGGGACCUGGGCCUUUAUUAUCCCUUAUCAACCAGUCAUUUGAUUAGCUUGACCCCAGAGAGAGGUUAUGACCUUGAGUAAAGUGGCUCUCCUCUACUGAGGAUAAUUCCAGGAGAGCAACUCAGCUGAGAGCUGUCAGCAAUGGGAGGAAUCAGAGUCUCAGUCCUGAAGAGCAGAUCUGGGCAGCAUAUCAUAGCAUCCACCACAAGGGGGAAAGUGCGUGCACUUUUCAUUGCCUCCACCUGGGAGUGACAUAUGCCAUUUUUUGCUGUCAUUUCAAUGACCAAAAGGAGUCACAUGAUUCUAAUUGGAAGGAACCUGGG
rnacentral:lncRNA from 10 species